rnacentral:ncRNA from 2 species
AUCUUGUAUUUACUCCGAUCUGAUUAUUCCUAAGGUUUACUACGGAACUCAGACGAAGGGUUUGUCUGGAAACGGGCUGGCCUCCCGGUUGGAAAGGAGAUGAUUUUGUCUAUUC